UCGGCUUCGAAAUCAGCGGGCAGCGGGGCGGGAGCGGUGGCGGCGCGGUGGCGCGGGAAGCCGUCUAGUACACCGCGCGCCGCUGAUCUCUAAUCUAUACAUUAGAAUGCGCCGCUCACGCGCCGCCGCCGCCACCGCCACGCUUCCCGCUGAUUUCGAGGCUGAGACCUUAGUGACACAUUUGAAAACACUUUAUUUUUUACCUGAACGUCUACAAGUAAGCAAAAUGGUAUAAUAUAUCUAAAAUAUCUCUAACUUUUUCGGCGUGCAUUCACAUCUUUUGUAGAAAAAUAUCAUAAGAAUUUAAUAAUAUCAUAAAAAUACACACUAUAUAUAUUAUAAAUUACGACUGAAGAAACGUUUUCUAUGUAUAGUUAUGAACUUAAGUUUUUUCCUAUUAUGUGGCUAAAGAAAGCUUUGAUGAAAUUGUAAAAUAUUACUACAUAUUUUAUCGUUUUCGAUGCUUUUUGUAAACAUAAUAACGUUUUGUUUGUGAUUAAUAAACGCUACAUGUACAUUAUGAAAUUGUUUUAGGAUUUUUUAUAUAAAAAUAUGGUCAGUUCACACCAAAACAAUAUGCGAUGCGACGCGUAAUAAUAUUAUGCAUAAAAUGCAGCGUAGUGCAACGGCUAACGCUAAUUCGUUCCAAUUUCUGCCGCG